rnacentral:rRNA from 1 species
UACGUAGGGGGCAAGCGUUGUCCGGAAUCAUUGGGCGUAAAGAGCGUGUAGGCGGCCCGGUAAGUCCGCUGUGAAAGUCCAGGGCUCAACCCUGGAAUGCCGGUGGAAACUGUCGGGCUAGAGUCCGGAAGAGGCGAGUGGAAUUCCUGGUGUAGCGGUGAAAUGCGCAGAUAUCGGGAGGAACACCUAUGGCGAAAGCAGGCUUCUGGGCUAUCACUGACGCUGAUCUGCGAAAGCUAGGGGAGCAAACAGG